CUGUGGGGUAGAGUGUACACAGAAUGCAAACAAUAAUCACUAAUGUUUUGACUCUUUAAAGGAAGAAAGCUGAGAGCGUGCACUGCAUAUUUAAGAAUCGUUGGAUGUUUACCACACACUCCAGUGGGACAAAUAUUAAUCAAGCAAUCAAGAAAGGACCCUGAAACAUGAGAGAAGAAUAGAACUUGACAUGUGAUCGUUCAAUAUAAUUGAAUAGUCAAGAUUCCUACAAAGAUAUAGUCACACAGACAGUAUUCUAAAAAUAUUGUGUAAAGAGAAUCAUGUCUUCAAAGAGGGAAUUGCAUGGUGGUUUUCAUACUGAUGUGCUGUGGCAAGAAUAAAGUAAGAACUGAGGGAGGAGGAGAACAGGCAGGAAGAAGAGAACAACUGGAAGUUCCUGAAGUCAAGAUAAAAUACACCAUGUACUCCAGCAUCCAAGGACUGUAUCCACGUGGCCCAUGUACCCAGGGUCAUGGACACUUACUUUCUGAGGUUCUCCUAAGCAACCACUAUUAGAACGCACACAAGAUUUGGGAAUCAAUUGUCUGUGGAAGAGUAAAAUAUCUUUCCUCAACCUGCAUUGGAACGUGUGAGAAGUGGAGAAAGACAAAGCGCAGCUUUCAGCUGAACACAAACUCUAGCCCAGCUGUGAGAGGAGAACUACCACAGUUACGCCCAGCCUAUCAGUGGGGUAAUGAAGGACAAGACUCCAUUGUUCGUUAUUAGUACUUCCAAUUGGACCUGAAAAAUGACUUGGCACAGUAGUAUUUAGUGAAGAUUAUGACGGAGUUCCUGCUUCCGGCUAAAGAAGACCAGUGUUUCUUGCUCCUUCUGGGUAGUGAGAGUUAUUUCUUUGCUGGCCCCAGCAGCUCCUCUUACUCCAGUUCUAUGCCACUGGCUCCGAAAAGUUGACAAAUGGCACUUAUUUCCUACUCAUGACCUAGUUUGUAAGAUCAUAAAUCACAGAAAAGUCCAUGUAACUAUUAGUUUGAAUUUCUUCUAGAUAAACUUCGAAGCUAAGAAUGGAUCAGAGGUCACAGGUUCAGCUCUGAAAGCUGGGCUCUAGACUCUUCUAUCAACUACUUCCGAUCAUUAGUGUCCAAAGAGUUAUUUACCAGGGGAAGUGUGUGCCUGUGUGUGUGUGUGGGGGGGUGCGGGUGUAGUGUGCCUGUGUAUGCAUGUGUGUGGUGUGUGUAGUGUGCCUGUGCAUGCGUGUAUGUGUGUGUGUGUGUGUGUGUGUGUGUGUGUAGUGUGACUGCGUGUGCAUGUGUGUGUGUUGUAUGUGUGUGCCUGUGUGUGUAUCUGUGUGUGGUAUGCCUGAGAAUCCCUGUGCAGGCAUGUGUGCGUGUGUGCGUGUGUGUGUGUGUGUGUGUCCACAGUGUAAGCAUAUAACUGGAACCAGGAAAGGAAGACAUUUGUGUUAGCUUUGGAAACAGCAGAGGGGAGGCUACAUGGCCAGCACUAACACUCAGAGACCUUACACAUAAAUAAUAAAUAAAAAUGUAUCUUGAA